AGCUAAAGAUAUGCAAAAGGAAUUGGAAGAUUUUAAACAAAGAUGUAAAAAAAUUGAAAUUGAAGACAUUGAUUGAAGGUGAACUAGAAAAUACCAAACUCUUUCAAUAUAUAAGGAAACUUUACAAGAAGGAGGAUAAUUGCAGGAGGAUAUCCAUUAAAUGUUUUAAACGCAUGGAAUGGCACAAAGUUGGUUAAUGAUAUUGGGAUUGAGAAAAUUAAAAGAUAAAUGUAUAGUUUGCUUCUAUAUCCUUAGAACUGCAUUAUAUGUUCUGAAAUUUAAUCAAUCUGUGUAUGAAUCCAUCUUAAGUUGA